GACGAACGCUGGCGGCGUGCUUAACACAUGCAAGUCGAACGGAAAGGCCCUGCUUUUGUGGGGUGCUCGAGUGGCGAACGGGUGAGUAACACGUGAGUAACCUGCCCUUGACUUUGGGAUAACUUCAGGAAACUGGGGCUAAUACCGGAUAGGAGCUCCUGCUGCAUGGUGGGGGUUGGAAAGUUUCGGCGGUUGGGGAUGGACUCGCGGCUUAUCAGCUUGUUGGUGGGGUAGUGGCUUACCAAGGCUUUGACGGGUAGCCGGCCUGAGAGGGUGACCGGCCACAUUGGGACUGAGAUACGGCCCAGACCCCUACGGGGGGCAGCAGUGGGGAAUUUUGCACAAUGGGGGGAAGCCUGAUGCAGAAACGCCGCGGGGGGGAUGACGGCCUUGGGGUUGUAAACCGCUUUCCCCUGUGACGAAGCGGGAGUGACGGUAAUGGGUAAAGAAGCACCGGCUAACUACGU
rnacentral:rRNA from 1 species